UGCCCAGCAACUUUUAUCCCUACCUCCUUGUGGUACCGGCCGGAAACUAUGAGCAACCUUAUGGAAGAU
rnacentral:ribozyme from 1 species